GUAACAAGGUUUCCGUAGGUGAACCUGCGGAAGGAUCAUUAAUGAUUAACUGUCUGUCGAGCUUGCUCACAGACUUAUCAUAUCCAUAACACCUGUGCACUUGUCGGAUGGCUUAGUGAAGACCGCAAGGUUGGAUCUAUCCAUCUACUUUACAUAACAAUUUAGUAACAAAUGUAGUCUUAUUAUAACAUAAUAAAACUUUCAACAACGGAUCUCUUGGCUCUCGCAUCGAUGAAGAACGCAGCGAAAUGCGAUAAGUAAUGUGAAUUGCAGAAUUCAGUGAAUCAUCGAAUCUUUGAACGCACCUUGCGCUCCCUGGUAUUCCGGGGAGCAUGCCUGUUUGAGUGUCAUGAAAACCCUCAACCUUAGAUUGGUUAACACCUUUCUUUGGCUUGGAUUUGGACGUUUGCCGAUGAUAAGUCGGCUCGUCUUAAAAGUAAUAGCUGGAUCUGUCUCGCGACAUGGUUUGACUUGGCGUAAUAAGUAUUUCGCUAAGGACAUCUUCGGAUGGCCGCGUUGCAAGACUAAAGACCGCUUUCUAAUCCAUUGAUCUUCGGAUUAAUAUUCUUGACAUCUGGCCUCAAAUCAGGUAGGACUACCCGCUGAACUUAAGCAUAUCA
rnacentral:misc_RNA from 1 species